GACGAACGCUGGCGGCGUGCUUAACACAUGCAAGUCGAACGGAAAGGCCCUGCUUUUGUGGGGUGCUCGAGUGGCGAACGGGUGAGUAACACGUGAGUAACCUGCCCUUGACUUUGGGAUAACUUCAGGAAACUGGGGCUAAUACCGGAUAGGAGCUCCUGCUGCAUGGUGGGGGUUGGAAAGUUUCGGCGGUUGGGGAUGGUCUCGCGGCUUAUCAGCUUGUUGGUGAGGUAGUGGCUUACGAAGGCUUUGACGGGUAGCCGGCCUGAGAGGGUUACCGGCCACAUUGGGACUGAGAUACGGCCCAGACUCGUACGGGAGGCAGCAGUGGGGAAUAUUGCACAAUGGGCGGAAGCCUGAGGCAGCAACGCCGCGUGCGGGAUGACGGCCUUCGGGUUGUAAACCGCUUUCGCCUGUGACGAAGAGUGAGUGACGGUAAUGGGUAAAGAAGCACCGGCUAACUACGUG
rnacentral:rRNA from 1 species